rnacentral:rRNA from 1 species
UACGAAGGGGGCUAGCGUUGCUCGGAAUUACUGGGCGUAAAGCGCACGUAGGCGGAUUGUUAAGUCGGGGGUGAAAUCCUGGAGCUCAACUCCAGAACUGCCUUCGAUACUGGCGAUCUCGAGUCCGGGAGAGGUGAGUGGAACUGCGAGUGUAGAGGUGAAAUUCGUAGAUAUUCGCAAGAACACCAGUGGCGAAAGCGGCGCACUGGACCACAACUGACGCUGAGGCGCGAAAGCUAGGGGAGCAAACAGG